CUUACACAUGCAAGUCGAGGGGUAGAAUUUCUUCCGAAAUUUGAGACCUCCGCACGGGUGCGUAACGCGUAUGCAAUCUACCCUUUACUGGAGAAUAGCCCGGAGAAAUUCGGAUUAAUGCUCCAUAUGCUCGUAGGAUCUCCUGAUCCAGCGAGGAAAGCUCCGGCGGUAAAGGAUGAGCAUGCGUCCCAUUAGCUUGUUGGUGAGGUAACGGCUCACCAAGGCGACGAUGGGUAGGGGGCCUGAGAGGGCGAUCCCCCCCACUGGUACUGAGACCCGGACCAGACUCCUACGGGAGGCAGCAGUGAGGAAUAUUGGGCAAUGGAGGCAACUCUGACCCAGCCAUGCCCCGUGCAGGAAGACGGUCCUCUGGAUUGUAAACUGCUUUUAUUAGGGAAUAAACCCUCCUACGUGUAGGAGGCUGAAGGUACCUGAUGAAUAAGCAUCGGCUAACUCCGUGCCAGCAGCCGCGGUAAUACGGAGGAUGCAAGCGUUAUCCGGAUUUAUUGGGUUUAAAGCGUCCGUAGGCGGGUAUUUAAGUCAGUGGUGAAAGCCCACAGCUCAACUGUGGAACUGCCAUUGAUACUGGAUGUCUUGAGUAUAGUAGAAGUAGGCGGAAUAGGGCAUGUAGCGGUGAAAUGCAUAGAUAUGCCCUAGAACACCGAUUGCGAAGGCAGCUUACUAUGUUAUAACUGACGCUGAGGGACGAAAGCGUGGGGAGCAAACAGGAUUAGAUACCCUGGUAGUCCACGCCGUAAACGAUGAUUACUCGCUGCUGGCGAUAUACAGUCAGUGGCCAAGCGAAAGCAUUAAGUAAUCCACCUGGGGAGUACGCCGGCAACGGUGAUACUCAAAGGAAUUGACGGGGGCCCGCCAAGCGGUGGAGCAUGUGGUUUAAUUCGAUGAUACGCGAGGAAC
rnacentral:rRNA from 1 species